rnacentral:piRNA from 1 species
UGCUUGUCAGACAAGUAGGUAAAAUUUAGA